rnacentral:lncRNA from 1 species
ACUCCUGGGGCUACAACAUCCAUUUCCGCUGAGCAUUGUUUGCCUCACAGUUCCUCAUGGACUCGUUUUCACUUUUCAAAAUCCUCAUCCUUCAAGGAUCAUCUGAGAUUCUAUCACCCUGAUCACAUCAAUCCACAACAAUCAUUUCUCUUCCAGGGUAGCUUUCCCUGAGAGGGCAUAGCUGGGGCAGUCAUCUGGACCCACCAGACAGGAGCUGAAGCUUGUUUUAAUUAAUACCAAGACAGCUCUGUAAGUUUGAUCCAUCCUGAAGAAUUGAAAAGAGGGCAUAUGCCAGAGAUAUGUCAGGCCAAGGAGUUACAAUAGGGUGCUUCUCAUAGUUCUGGACACAGAUGGGACCCCAGUAAACCUAGAUCAAACUAUAGGGAAGAGCAGAUGGAUGACCAUGUGGAAGCACAGUGUGUCAGCCUCAGACAUCACAGCCCCUCCAGGACAUGAAUAAUAGGUGACAAGAAAGCCACCCUCCAUCUCCCCCACUUCUCAAUGAAACGAAUCUUAAUGUCAAUAUUUUGUGGUGAGGAAAAGGCAGAGAAAGCAGCAAUUGCCCAACUUUUGGCACUUUACAGCCAUCCAGGGGAAUGUGAUUCUUCAAACCUAUGAUACUCUUUUGUAACUCCAUCCUUUCAAAAACUGUUCCCUCCCCUUGUAAUGUCCCUUCCUUCUUUACAAACUAUGGUGCAUUCAGCUAAGUGGCUCGCAUUUUUUUGCUACUUUGGCUAUUUAAAAUGGCAAGCAAGUUUGUGGAGAUAUGGGUAUUUUUGUAUGAGCAUUCAUACUCACACUAAAGUUUUAGUUACUUUUCUCCCUAUCCAGAAGAUGCACACAUCCUGCUGAAUAUAGUUUUCUGCUUAGCACUUAACUCUCACUGAUAGCUUAGAGUCAUUUAUAGACUCAGAGAUGAUGCUGCACUUGCCCUCUAUGAGUUUUAUAACAGCCAGCCAGAAAGUGGGCUGGUUCUGCACUCAUGGGUGUGGAUGACCC